GAAAACGGGGGGAGAGGGAGAGUAUUGUGACCACCCCCUAGCCUGGGAGAGAGAUUUGUAUGCCUGUUGUGAAAAGCAGGGAUGGGAAUUCUGAAAUAAAAACACAGUUGGACAGUUUCCCACGGAGUGGUAACGUAAACCCACUCAGGCCAACCAUACUCAAGUGCUGUCUGUCUACCCACACGCCCGUGUCAGAAAUGCCCUUCGGUGCUUCCAUGCAGAAGGGAAGGAAGCACUUUUACAUUUUAGUUCUGCUUGUUAUUUGGAAGUUAUUUUAAAGGUCAUUUAAGUGGGUUUUUUUGUUGUUGUUGUUAACAGAGUUGUUUCCAGCCACUGCUAUGAGCCCAUCUAAAUGAAAUCGUGAGGACUAAGGAGAGGGGCACCCAUGACUGCCUUCAUCCACCCCCACAUCAUCUUUUCACCCAUCCACCCAUCCUUACUGCAGACCUUACUGGGCACCUGUGCCAGGAGAUGGUCACUGCCCAUCAGAAGCUCGUACAGGGAGAAGCAGUGGCCACAGCAGGAAGCAGAAGUUUGCUUGGUAAACUUGGAAUCGGAACCUGGGAAUUGGGCCACUGGGAUAUUCAAUGGCGUCAGACCGGUGUAGCUGAUACUCCUGGACAGAGGGGCCCUGCCAACUGGACAGAUGUGUGAAGUGUUGCUGACCGAGCUCCUUGCUCUGUGUGGGAGGGAGCUUGCCAGCUCCAGCCUUGUGGGUCUCCUUUUUCUAUUUCCAAGCUUAAAUAAGCACUUGGCUGUUCUGAUUAGCAUUUUUAAAAGCUGUGUUAAUAAGUUCAAUUAAAAUAGAAGAAUCUCUCAUUCUGUCAUAUCAGGGUUUUUUUUAAUUGCAAACCAAUAAAACUUAAAUGAACUUAAGCAAA
ensembl:lincRNA